rnacentral:tmRNA from 1 species
UCACUUGGAAUGCAUCCGGCAAGCGCCUACAUUGGCGGUGCCGGGCAACCGGCUAUGCUGGUAGAGUGUAGGUAGAAAUAAGCGUUUCGGACCCGGGGGGCAGUACCCCGGCGCCUCCACCACCGGGAUCGCGGCCAAGCGCCAGCGGUCUCGCUGAUGGGGGCGAAACAGGAUCGACGAGCGUAGUAAAGUGCUUGCUGCCAGCGGGCUUGGACAGGCCCUAAAACCGUCAUUCUCACAAGUGCCAACGAUAACGAGGCGCUCGCGAUUGCUGCGUAACUGACGGCCUAACGGUCAGACGUUACAAAGCUUAAGCGCGGUUGGACCGAACCGGGCAACAGAAUCGGAUUCCA